GGCUUGAUGGUCUAGUGGUAUGAUUCUCGCUUUGAGUGCGAGAAGUUUACGGUUCAAUCCCCGGUCAAGCCC
rnacentral:tRNA from 1 species